AAGCUGUCCAAAGGCUACCACUUAAAACAUCCAUGCCCCAGGAGAACAGGGGACAGAGCUUCUAGAAGUCAACAGUACUCUGAUUCUCAUCAAGGCAAGAACAACAAUGGAGCAUCUUCUUUCUUUUCUGGACCCUCUGAUCACAUUGGGCUCACCCAAGACGACAUGUAUGCUUGGUGCCCACGGAGAUCAGAAGAGGCCAUCAGAUUCUCAUUGGGCUGGAGUUACUGAUGAGUAUAAGCUGCCAUUUGGA